AAGUCGUAACAAGGUUUCCGUAGGUGAACCUGCGGAAGGAUCAUUAGUGAGUUUUCUUAAAAAAGAAGCCACACUUGUGCACUGUUUUAUUUUUAUUACAUACUCUGUUAUUUAUUUUUAUACUUUAUGUAUAAAAGAAAAAACAAAAUACAACUUUCAACAACGGAUCUCUUGGCUCUC
rnacentral:misc_RNA from 1 species